GAAGGGAAGGGUAGGGUUUCAAUCUCUCUCUCUGUGCACACUUCGACGGUACGGCGAAACUGAUUCGGCAGCGGUGACAAUCAACGGAACACUCAGUCGCUGCUUUCACCCGUGUUCUUGAUGAGGCCAGUGUUGUUCUUCUCUUCAGAGACAAAGUCUAUCUUCAUCCCGAUAAGGUAUAUACAAGUGGGGAAUGCAGUUGCAUUUCUAGUAUCUAUGGCAUUCGGAAGUAUGUUGGCAAAGGGAAGCUAAGGAGUCUCAAAUAAUGAACCCUUGACAACAACUGAUUUGAAAUUCCCUCUGAGUCCUGU